GUUGAUAUAGGCCCUUUCCCUACAUUAUGAGAUCUACAAACCCCUCCCCAUUAUGUACUCUCUCAUCACCAUAACAACAGACAUUCCAUAAAAAACAGUUAGGGGAGCCAUGACAGAAGGCAGAAAAACUUGAUGUUUUCUUUUAGGACUCCCAUUCAGGCAGUUUAUAAACUUUUCUUGAUACCCAGAAGGAAGAUAUGGAGGUGAUAAAAGAUGUUGCCACGAGGGGAGAUCAGCAUAUGAAAGUCUAAAAGGAGACUCUAUAUGAUAGCUAUUCAUGUGUGUGCUACUUGGUUCCUGUUGAGACCUGUACAUUAUAACUAUGGAUGUGUUUUCAUACUUGAACUCCCAGCUUUUGCUAACAUUAUAUUUGCUUAUGUGUCAA